CAAUGAACAGGAACCUUGUGGCUGGUGGCUGGCCCGGGUGCGGAUGAUGAAGGGAGAUUUCUAUGUCAUUGAAUAUGCUGCCUGUGAUGCCACCUACAAUGAAAUUGUUACCCUGGAGCGACUUCGGCCAGUUAAUCCCAAUCCCCUUGCAACCAAAGGCAGCUUCUUCAAGGUUACCAUGGCUGUGCCCGAGGAUCUGAGAGAAGCCUGCUCCAAUGAAAACGUCCAUAAAGAGUUCAAGAAAGCCCUGGGAGCCAACUGCAUCUUUCUCAACAUCACAAACAGUGAGCUCUUCAUUCUGGUGAGUUUAUUCUGCCUGAAUUUCACAUAAGCCUUUUGAACAUUUUUUCUUUUUCCCCUUUUAACUCCUUUGCAGAAAGAGAAGGGCUUAAAUGUGCUUCUAUUUAUUUGUCAAGAGGACUUUAUGGCUCCUGACUCCUACAGGCCCAGGUAGCCCUAUCUUUUUUUUUUCUUUUU
rnacentral:sRNA from 1 species